rnacentral:rRNA from 1 species
GUCGAGAAUUUUUCUCAAUGGGCGAAAGCCUGAAGGAGCGACGCCGCGUGGAGGAUGAAGGUCUUCGGAUUGUAAACUCCUGUCAUUAGGGAACAAGUGCCGGCAUUUAACUGGUGUCGGCUUGAUAGUACCUGAAGAGGAAGAGACGGCUAACUCUGUGCCAGCAGCCGCGGUAAUACAGAGGUCUCAAGCGUUGUUCGGAUUCAUUGGGCGUAAAGGGUGCGUAGGCGGCGCCGUAAGUCAGGUGUGAAAUCCCGGGGCUCAACCCCGGAACGGCACUUGAUACUGCGGUGCUUGAGGACUGGAGAGGAGACUGGAAUUCCCGGUGUAGCAGUGAAAUGCGUAGAUAUCGGGAGGAAGGCCAGUGGCGAAGGCGGGUCUCUGGACAGUUCCUGACGCUGAGGCACGAAGGCCAGGGGAGCAAACGGGAUUAGAAACCCUAGUAGUCC